AUUGAACGCUGGCGGCAUGCCUUACACAUGCAAGUCGAACGGCAGCACGGGUGCUUGCACCUGGUGGCGAGUGGCGAACGGGUGAGUAAUACAUCGGAACAUGUCCUGUAGUGGGGGAUAGCCCGGCGAAAGCCGGAUUAAUACCGCAUACGAUCUACGGAUGAAGGCGGGGGACCUUCGGGCCUCGCGCUAUAGGGUUGGCCGAUGGCUGAUUAGCUAGUUGGUGGGGUAAAGGCCUACCAAGGCGACGAUCAGUAGCUGGUCUGAGAGGACGACCAGCCACACUGGGACUGAGACACGGCCCAGACUCCUACGGGAGGCAGCAGUGGGGAAUUUUGGACAAUGGGCGAAAGCCUGAUCCAGCAAUGCCGCGUGUGUGAAGAAGGCCUUCGGGUUGUAAAGCACUUUUGUCCGGAAAGAAAUCCUUGGCUCUAAUACAGUCGGGGGAUGACGGUACCGGAAGAAUAAGCACCGGCUAACUACGUG
rnacentral:rRNA from 1 species